ACAGCAGCAGCCGCGGUAAUACAGAGGGUGCGAGCGUUAAUCGGAUUUACUGGGCGUAAAGCGUGCGUAGGCGGCUUUUUAAGUCGGAUGUGAAAUCCCUGAGCUUAACUUAGGAAUUGCAUUCGAUACUGGGAAGCUAGAGUAUGGGAGAGGAUGGUAGAAUUCCAGGUGUAGCGGUGAAAUGCGUAGAGAUCUGGAGGAAUACCGAUGGCGAAGGCAGCCAUCUGGCCUAAUACUGACGCUGAGGUACGAAAGCAUGGGGAGCAAACAGGAUUAGAGACCCCAGUAGUCCCUGUCUCUUAUAC
rnacentral:rRNA from 1 species